rnacentral:rRNA from 1 species
CCCUUAGAUGUUCUGGGCCGCACGCGCGCUACACUGACUGGUGCAACAAGUGUCUGACCUUGGCUCGAGAGGCCUGGGCAACCUUUGAACGCCAGUCGUGCUGGGGAUAGAUUCUUGCAAUUAUUAAUCUUCAACGAGGAAUUCCUAGUAAACGCAAGUCAUCAGCUUGCAUUGAUUACGUCCCUGCCCUUUGUACACACCGCCCGUCGCUCCUACCAAUUUCGAGUGGCUCGGUGAACCUCUUUGGACUGUCGAGCAAUCGCGAAAUUAGAGUGAACCUGGUCACUUAGAGGAAGGAGAAGUCGUAACA